rnacentral:rRNA from 1 species
AGUGAACGCUGGCGGUAGGCCUAACACAUGCAAGUCGAACGGCAGCACAGUAAGAGCUUGCUCUUACGGGUGGCGAGAGGCGGACGGGUGAGGAAUACAUCGGAAUCUACUUUUUCGUGGGGGAUAACGUAGGGAAACUUACGCUAAUACCGCAUACGACCUACGGGUGAAAGCAGGGGAUCUUCGGACCUUGCGCGAUUGAAUGAGCCGAUGUCGGAUUAGCUAGUUGGCGGGGUAAAGGCCCACCAAGGCGACGAUCCGUAGCUGGUCUGAGAGGAUGAUCAGCCACACUGGAACUGAGACACGGUCCAGACUCCUACGGGAGGCAGCAGUGGGGAAUAUUGGACAAUGGGCGCAAGCCUGAUCCAGCCAUACCGCGUGGGUGAAGAAGGCCUUCGGGUUGUAAAGCCCUUUUGUUAGGAAAGAAAAGCAGCAGGUUAAUACCCCGCUGUUCUGACGGUACCCAAAGAAUAAGCACCGGCUAACUUCGUG